rnacentral:rRNA from 1 species
GUACACGCUGUGACUAGCAUAUCAAUAAGCGGAGGAAAAGAAAGAUGCGGAGGGUAGCGAGGCAUGGAAUCCCGAGGGUGUGGUGCCCCGCGCUAUUCGAGCGAUCAAGGCGGCGGUGCCCGAGAUGGCAGUGAUGACGGAUGUGGCAUCGGAUCCCUUCAAUACCUACGCUUAGGAUGUUGACACACGCGCGUGCUCGGCUCUAUACAUGACUCUGUGCAUAUCAAUAAGCGGAGGAAAAGGCUGCGGAACUGAACGACCGCUACCUACGCUUAGGAUGUUGACGCGCGUGUGUGCGUGAGUCUAUACAUGACUCUGUGCAUAUCAAUAAGCGGAGGAAAAGAAACUAACAAGGAUCCCCCUAGUAACGGCGAGUGAAGCGGGAAGAGCUCAAAUUUGAAAUCUUAAAGGGUUUCCCUUUACGAAUUGUAGUUUAAAGAAGUGUUUUCUGUUGAGGUUUUGGUAAAAGUUCUUUGGAAUAGGACAUCAUAGAGGGUGAGAAUCCCGUAUUUGGUCAUUCCUUCUAGCUUUGUGAUACACUUUCAAAGAGUCGGAUUGUUUGGGAAUGCAGUCCAAAAUGGGUGGUAAAUUUCAUCUAAAGCUAAAUAUUGGCGAGAGACCGAUAGCGAACAAGUACCGUGAGGGAAAGAUGAAAAGAACUUUGAAAAGAGAGUUAAACAGUACGUGAAAUUGUCAAAAGGGAAGCGUUUGACACCAGUGUUGUUUUUCUGAAAAUCAAUUAAAGAACUGUUUAUGCUAAGUUGUUUAGACUUUAUCAGCUAUCUGCUUAGUUUUGAGCUUUUCUUUAAUGCACUUUUCAGUUAACAAGUCAACAUCAAUUUCUUUUGCUGUAAAAAAGCUUGAGGAAGGUGGCUUGAGAUUCGUCUUAAGUGUUUAUAGCCUCUUGCCUAUGCAGUCGGAGAGAUUGAGGUCUGCAGCGUAGAUCCUUCGGGGCUAAAUGCAUUUGUGCUAAGUUAUAGCAUUUUAUAGACAACUUGUUGACUAUGAUUUGUCUUGUAGCUUACUCGCUUAUGUUAUUUUACCUACGCUUAGGAUGUUGAUAUGCAUGACUGAUAU